rnacentral:rRNA from 1 species
AUUGAACGCUGGCGGCAUGCUUUACACAUGCAAGUCGAACGGUAACAGGUUAAGCUGACGAGUGGCGAACGGGUGAGUAAUGCAUCGGAACGUGCCCGAUCGUGGGGGAUAACGCAGCGAAAGCUGCGCUAAUACCGCAUACGAUCUGAGGAUGAAAGCGGGGGACCGUAAGGCCUCGCGCGAUCGGAGCGGCCGAUGUCAGAUUAGGUAGUUGGUGGGGUAAAGGCCCACCAAGCCGACGAUCUGUAGCUGGUCUGAGAGGACGACCAGCCCCACUGGGACUGAGACACGGCCCAGACUCCUACGGGAGGCAGCAGUGGGGAAUUUUGGACAAGGGGCGAAAGCCUGAUCCGGCAAUGCCGCGUGCAGGAAGAAGGCCUUCGGGUUGUAAACUGCUUUUGUACGGAGCGAAAAGGUCCUUUCUAAUACAAGGGGCUCAUGACGGUACCGUAAGAAUAAGCACCGGCUAACUACGUGCCAGCCGCCGCCGUAACAC